GUUUGAUCAUGGCUCAGGAUGAACGCUAGCUACAGGCUUAACACAUGCAAGUCGAGGGGCAGCAUGAGAUUAGCUUGCUAAUCUUGAUGGCGACCGGCGCACGGGUGAGUAACGCGUAUCCAACCUUCCCCCUACUCAGGCAUAGCCCGGUGAAAACCGGAUUAACUCCUGAUAGUUUCACUAGAUGGCAUCUGACGGUGAAUAAAGCUCAGCGGUAAGGGAUGGGGAUGCGUCUGAUUAGCUUGUUGGCGGGGUAACGGCCCACCAAGGCGACGAUCAGUAGGGGUUCUGAGAGGAAGGUCCCCCACAUUGGAACUGAGACACGGUCCAAACUCCUACGGGAGGCAGCAGUGAGGAAUAUUGGUCAAUGGGCGCGAGCCUGAACCAGCCAAGUAGCGUGCAGGAAGACGGCCCUAUGGGUUGUAAACUGCUUUUGUGCGGGAAUAAAGUCAGGGACGUGUCCCUGUUUGCAUGUACCGCAAGAAUAAGGACCGGCUAAUUCCGUGCCAGCCGCCGC
rnacentral:rRNA from 1 species